rnacentral:lncRNA from 1 species
UUUUAAAACUGAACUCUAAUAAUCUCUCUCCUCUCCUCCCAAUUUUCGACAGAAAAAGAAAAAGGCAGCGGCUUGCCGCCGAGCCGUCGCCGGCCGUGAGCAGCCCCCGGCUGUUCUCACCCACUUCUAUUCCGGCGAGUAGCAGCGAAAGCCGCCGCCGAUCCCUGUGUUCACGGCUCAGCAGCCUCACAAUCUCAGCCCUCUCCUCGCCGAUCGACUGCAACG